CUCAGGCAUGAAUCUUUAGGGGAAGUGUGCCUCUGGCACCCACUGGUACCCACAGAGGAGGCACAGCUCACACUGCGCAGAGCAUAUGGCGGAAAGCAUCGCACAGAGAGAACAUCAGAAUAAACACGUUUGGGACAAAACAGACAUGAAAUCAGCAUGUUGGAGUGAAGCCAUACUCCAGUGGCAAGGAGGAUUUUGGAUGGAACACAGAGUCCUUGAAUAUGUUUCCACACCACUACUAUGAAGCCUACCAACACUUACUAAAAACUUGCAUGGUGAGAGGAUUCUGGAUCUGACCCUUAAGUCUCAGCAGUGGAGCUCUAGCAUGGAAUUAAUUUGACCAUACAUGUGUGCCUAUUGCUGAUUUAGGUGUUGUGAGGUAUCCAAGAGAGUUUCAUGGGCCAGGUAGAUAUUACAGAAGAGCUGUGAAAGACACUUCUCUGCUGGGAUUGCU